rnacentral:rRNA from 1 species
CUAAAAUACUUCCAUUAAUCAAGAACGAAAGUUAAGGGAGUGAAGACGAUCAGAUACCGUCGUAAUCUUAACCAUAAACUAUGCCGACUAGGUUUUGGAUGAAAAUUUUUAAAUAAGAUUUCCCUUCGGGGAUUUCUUAGAUUGCUUCCUUCAGUACCUUAUGAGAAAUCAAAGUCUUUGGGUUCUGGGGCGAGUAUUCGCGCAAGCGAGAAAGUUAAAAGAAUUGACGGAAGGGCACCACCAGGCGUGGAGCUUGCGGCUUAAUUUGACUCAACACGGGGAAACUCACUAGUUUAAGACAAGAGUAGGAUUGACAGAUUAAUAGCUCUUUCUUGAUUUCUUGGAUGGUGAUGCAUGGCCGUUUUUAGUUCGUGAAUAUGAUUUGUCUGGUUAAUUCCGAUAACGAACGAGAUCUUAACCUGCUAAUUAGCGGCGAGUACUCUAUAUCCUUUAUUGGGAGAUUGGUUUUGACGUUUAUGUGGGCAUAUUGAUUAAUCAAUUGGUUUACCUUUUGCUCUUUUUCAUUAUGAUUCUUUCGUUUACGACAUGCCUUUUUUCUAGUAAGGAUGUAUUCGCUUUAUUUAAUGCUUCUUAGAGGAACGAUGUGUGUCUAACACAAGGAAGUUUAAGGCAACAACAGGUCUGUGAUGUCCUUAGAUAUACUAGGCUGCACGCGUGCUACACUGAUAUGUAAAACGAGUGCUUAAAUUUAUAUCUGUGCUUAGGUGUUAAAGCCUAUGUUUCAGUAUAUAUUUUUCCUCCACUGAAAAGUGUAGGUAAUCUUUAUCAAUACAUAUCGUGAUGGGGAUAGAUUAUUGCAAUUAUUAAUCUUGAACGAGGAAUGCCUAGUAAGCAUGAUUCAUCAGAUUGUGCUGACUACGUCCCUGCCCUUUGUACACACCGCCCGUCGCUCCUACCGAUUGAAAGAUAUGAUGAAUUGUUUGGACAAGAAAAUAGAAAUUUUAUUUUUAUUUUUUUGGAAGGACCGUAAAUCCUAUCUUUUAAAGGAAGGAGAAGUCGUAACAAGGUUUCCGUAGGUGAACCUGCGGAAGGAUCAUUA